rnacentral:misc_RNA from 1 species
ACAAGCGUCCGUUUAGUAGCGCUCCCUGCAACUCAGCAUCGUGUGUCGUGCAUCUUCUGUUUUUAUAUUUAUAAUAAUUACAGCGAUAUACAUUAUUGGGCACAAGUGUUAACUGAGAUUGGAGAUUUAUAAAAUAGCUUGUAAAGAUAAUCAGUGCAAUAGGAAAGUGCGUGUGUUGUGAUAAUAUAAGAAUUUAAGCGAAAGUUUAUCAACUGAGAUUGGCAAAAUGACGGAAAUUGGAUUCAUGAAAAAUCCAGUCUAGAGUGAGAGAAAGAAAAUAAGAGUGGACGCUGGGGGAGUGAGAUAGACAGACAUGUGUCGGUGGAUGAAUUACUACCAUUUGCUUAAUAGCUAAUAGCUUACACGAAAUUUUAUUUAGCCUAUGCGAUCUUUGCACAAUGGCUGUGUCUUUAUACAAACUUUCGUAUCUUAUUCUUAUUGGAUUAGUGGGUCUGUCGUCUGUUGUUGGCCAUGAUAUUAAAGGUUCAACGCAAUGCGAAUAUUAUAACGAAACGUCGUGUGCAGAUCCGACGAAAAACUGUCCAGAAAUAGAAAAAUGUUCGCCACCUGAACCAGACAAAAGGAAUCAUUGUUAUGUGCUAUGGCAAAUUGACGAAGUUACUAAAAAGUCUAUUGUUAAACUCAAGGGUUGUUUCUUAGACAGUAGAGAAUGUUAUGACAAACAAUGUUGCGUAGAAAAAAAUAGCGACCGUAAGGGAAAAAUGUAUUUUUGCUGUUGUGAUGGGGAUAUGUGUAAUCAAAAUUACACGUGGGAUCCUCAGCCGACUGAAGCGCCAAAAGAUCAUGAAUUAACACCAGUACCAAAUCCUGAACAACAUGUGAUAACACUUGUUGUGUCUGUAUUGGUGCCAAUGCUGUUGCUGACAGUUAUUUUGCUAUCAUUGUUUUGGUGUUACAAACAACGAAAGCUCGGAUAUUUCAAUGAGGUUCCAACACUAGAGCCACUUCCCUUGCCUCAGCCGUCGCCGAAUCUGGGUUUACGACAGAUCCACCUGGUUGAAAUAAAAGCCCGUGGUCGUUUUGGAGCAGUAUGGAAAGCUCAAUUUAAAAAUGACAUCGUUGCUGUUAAAGUAUUCCCGAUGCAAGAUAAACAGUCAUGGCAAACAGAGCAAGAAAUAUUUAAAUUAGCUCACAUGAAUCACGAGGAUAUAUUACGAUUUAUCGGCGUUGAAAAACGUGGCGACAACCUUCAAGCUGAGUUCUGGCUGAUAACAGCUUAUCAUGAAAAAGGAUCACUCUGCGACUAUUUGAAAGCUAAUGUCGUAACUUGGGCGGAAAUGUGCCGUAUUUCCGAGUCAAUGGCACGUGGAUUGAUGCAUUUGCAUGAAGAAAUUCCUGCAAACAAAGCUGAUGGGUAUAAACCCGCGGUAGCGCACCGUGACUUUAAAUCGAAAAAUGUUCUUCUCAAGUCCGACAUGAGCGCAUGCAUCGCGGACUUUGGACUCGCGUUGAUAUUUCAACCUGGAAAACCUUGUGGCGACACUCAUGGACAAGUUGGUACUCGACGAUACAUGGCGCCAGAAGUAUUAGAGGGUGCGAUAAACUUUACACGAGACUCAUUUUUACGUAUUGACAUGUACGCUUGUGGCCUAGUGCUCUGGGAAUUGGCGUCACGGUGUACGGUACAAGACGGACCCAUCGGAGAGUACAGAUUACCUUUUGAAGAAGAAGUUGGUCUCCAUCCAACUCUGGAAGACAUGCAAGAAAGCGUAGUGCUUAAAAAAGAACGUCCAUUGAUACAGGAAACAUGGCGAAAGCAUCCGGGUCUUUUGUCUAUUUGUGAUACGAUGGAAGAGUGCUGGGAUCACGACGCCGAGGCUCGAUUAUCAGCGUCUUGUGUUAUGGAAAGAAUUACUACCUUGAGUAGAAGUCUCGUUAUCAAUUCGUCGACUUUAAUUCGCGUCGACAAUACCAACGAUUCAGUCAUCACCAAGGAAUCUAAUCGGCACUUGCAUGUGUGAACCAUACAAGAGCCACGGAUACAUUAUUAAUUGUACAGUUCAUCGAGGAAGAUUUUAAAGGAUGAAAAUAAUACUGGGCUCUGACAGUGCCAAAUAUUAAUUAAUGCUAAAUAUUUUAUAUGUUUAUUUAAUUAAAAA